rnacentral:rRNA from 1 species
UACAGAGGGUGCGAGCGUUAAUCGGAAUUACUGGGCGUAAAGGGCGCGUAGGCGGCCUUCUAAGUCAGACGUGAAAUCCCCCGGCUUAACCUGGGAACUGCGUCUGAUACUGGAGGGCUUGAGUGCGGGAGAGGGAUGUGGAAUUCCAGGUGUAGCGGUGAAAUGCGUAGAUAUCUGGAGGAACACCGGUGGCGAAGGCGGCAUCCUGGACCGACACUGACGCUGAGGCACGAAAGCGUGGGGAGCAAACAGG